GUGGGUUUAGGUUGGGCAGAUUUUAUUGUUGUUGUUUUGUUGUAUUUAUUUAUUUAUUUAUUGAUUGAUUGAUUGAAAGAGCCAGGUCUCCAGCUCUACUUAGGCCUCCUUACUCCUAAGUAGAAGCAUUAAAAGAUGAUUCCAGUAGAAGAGGUGUCAACUUCGGUCACACCUGUGACAGUCAGUAGCACACUAGCUUUCUGCCUGUCUCAGCCCCUGCUCUUACAAGCUAAGCUACAUCAACCCUUUGAAUGGGUGUGGACUACACCUCUGUGGGGACUGCUUUUCAACCACAGGUCAUCUCUUGGAAAGUCAGAUUAUAAAGGUCUAAAAUGUGUCAACUCCGCACUUUCAAUGCUUGGUCUCACAAGUGCUUCUACCACAGACAACUGUGCCCCCAGAGCAACACAAAGGCCUGUUGCUAAUGUUCAAGUGGAAUGAUUAAUCCCUUUAAGGUUUUCCAUGCUGGGGGAUUUGAACUUCUGGGGGGGUCUUGAUUGGCAGUUUUGAUUCUGUGAAGGCUUAAGUCAUUGGGACAGCUCUAAAGAUUUCCUGAUCCCUUGUCCUCUAUGUAAAAUACUUUGUAUUUUAUAAUUUAUAACAAAGUGUGCUCCCAAUAAAAAUUUAAGAUGUAUGGUAUUUUGUAGGGGGGACAAGGAAAAUAAGCACCAACAAAACAGAAGAAAUGUUAGAGACAAUUUAACAAAUGAUUCUGAAAAUGGAACUCUGCUCUAUUUGGCCUGCAGCUCUAUUUAAAACAGCCAGCAUAAGGAUGUAAACCCCAGAGCACACUAAGGUCCCUGAGUGGGCUGGCAAGUUACGAGAUUUGCAUAAUUUUGCAAACAUAAUUUAUGAAAAAUACUAUAAUAGUAUUUUGGUUCUUUAUAAGCAGUGUUGCCAUGUACAGCCAAUAGUCGAACUGAUGUAGAUAAAAUGAGAAAGAUAAAUAAUAUUUUCAUAAAGAUUAUGGCACAGGGGAG
rnacentral:lncRNA from 1 species